AUGCGGUAUGACGGUACCCUUUCGAAUAAGAGGUUGCUAACUCUGUGCCAGCAGCAGCGGUAAUACAGAGACCUCGAGCGUUAUCCGGAUUUACUGGGCGUAAAGCGUCUGUAGGGGGUUUGUUAAGUUCCAAGUAAAAUCUUAAGGCUCAACUUUAAGUUCGCUUGGAAAACUAAUAAACUGGAGUCCAGCAGAGGUGCAUGGAACUUGCGGUGUAGGAGUGAAAUCCGUUGAUAUCGCAAGGAACACCAAAGGCGAAGGCAUUGCACUGGGCUGGUACUGACCCUGAGAGACGAAAGCGUGGGGAGCAAAACGGAUUAGAUACCCGUGUAGUCCACGCCGUAAACGAUGGAUACUAGAUGUUCGGGGAUUCGACCCCCUGGGUGUCACAGCUAACGCGUUAAGCAUCCCGCCUGGGAAGUACGGCCGCAAGGCUAAAACUCAAAGGAAUAGACGGGGAUCCGCACAAGCGGUGGAGCGUCUGGUUUAAUUUGAUAGUAAGCAAUGGACCUCACCAAGGUUUGACAUCCUAUGACAACCCUGGAAACAGGGCUUCCUUCGGGCAUAGUGACAGGUGCUGCAUGGUCGUCGUCAGUUCGUGCCGUGAGGUGUUCCGUUAAGUCGGGAAACGAACGAAACCCUCGUCGCAUGUUACAAAUUUCAUGCGAGACUGCCCGGGUCAACCGGGAGGAAGGCGGGGAUGACGUCAGAUCAGCAUGGCCCUUAUACCUUGGGCUACACAGGCGCUACAAUGGCCGGUACAAAGGGUUGCAAAACCGCGAGGUGAAGCUAAUCCCAUAAAGCCGGUCCAAGUUCGGAUUGGAGGCUGCAACUCGCCUCCAUGAAGUUGGAAUCGCUAGUAAUCGUGGAUCAGCCAUACCACGGUGAAUACGUUCCCGGAUCUUGUACUCACCGC
rnacentral:rRNA from 1 species